CAGUCGGGGAAAUUUUUCCGCAAUUGGGGGGCAAGCCUUGAACGAUGCCAAUUUCCGCCGGGCGGGGAGGGAAGGCCCCAUGCGUAAUAAACCCGCUUUCCUAGGGAAGGAAAAUUUGGAGGGUACCUAAUCGAAUAUAGCCUCGGCUUAGUUCCGUGCCAGCAGCCGCGUAAAAACGAAGGAGGCUAGCGUAUCUGGAAUUAUUGGGCGUAAAGCGUCCGCAGGUGGCAUCUCAAGUCUGUGUCAAAAUCCCCAGGGCUCAACUCUGGAUCGGCAGUGGAAAACUGAGACGCUAGAGUACGGUAGGGGCAGAGGGAAUUCCCCAGUGUAGCGGUGAAAUGCGUAGAUAUUGGGAAGAACACCAGUAGGGAAAGCGCUCUGCCGGGCGGUAACUGACACUCAUGGACGAAAGUUAGGGGAGCGAAAGGGAUUAGAUACCCCUGUAGUCCUAGCCGUAAACGAUGGACACUAGGUGUUGCGCGUAUCGACCCGUGCAGUGCCGUAGCCAACGCGUUAAGUGUCCCGCCUGGGGAGUACGCUCGCAAGAGUGAAACUCAAAGGAAUU
rnacentral:rRNA from 1 species